UUUAAGGGCCGCAGUAUUUUGACUGUGCAAAGGUAGCAUAAUCAUUAGGUUUUUAAUUAGGAUCUUGUAUGAAUGAUUGGACAAAAGAAGGACUGUCUUUAUAUUAUAGUUUGAAUUUAACUUUUAAGUGAAAAGGCUUAAAUGUCCUAGAGGGACGAUAAGACCCUAUAAAACUUUACAUUGGUAAUUUAUAUUAUUAAAUUUUAUUAUAAUAAUUGUUUAAAUUUAUUUGUUAUGUUGGGGAGACAAAAAUUAUAAUUUAUAUUAACUGUUUUAAAAAAAUUCAUUAAUUAAUGAUUAAAUUAAUUUAAUUGAUCCUUUAUAAAGAUUUGAAGAUUAAGUUACUUUAGGGAUAACAGCGUUAUUUUUUUUGAGAGUUCAUAUCGAAAAAAGAGAUUGCGACCUCGAUGUUGAAUUAAAAGUUCUUUAUAAUGUAGAUGUUAUAUAAGAAGGUCUGUUCGACCUUUAAUUUUUUACGUGAUC
rnacentral:rRNA from 1 species